UCCGUUUGAUCCUGGCAGAGGUUACUGCUAUCGAGGUCCGACUAAGCCAUGCGAGUCGAAUGUCGCAAGACAUGGCGUACUGCUCAGUAACACGUGGACAACCUACCCUCAGCACGGGGAUAAACCCGGGAAACUGGGUAUAAUACCCGAUAGUUCUGGGGUGCUGGAAUGCAUCCAGGACGAAAGCUCCGGCGACUGAGGAUGGGUCUGCGGCCUAUCAGGUAGUAGUGGGUGUAAUGUACCUACUAGCCUACGACGGGUACGGGUCGUGAGAGCGAGAGCCCGGAGAUGGAUUCUGAGACACGAAUCCAGGCCCUACGGGGUGCAGCAGGCGCGAAAACUUUACAAUGCUGGCAACAGCGAUAAGGGGACCUCGAGUGCCAGGAUACAAUCUUGGCUGUCGUGAUGCCUAAAAAGCAUUACAUAGCAAGGGCCGGGCAAGACCGGUGCCAGCCGCCGCGGUAACACCGGCGGCUCGAGUGGUAACCGCUAUUAUUGGGUCUAAAGGGUCUGUAGCCGGCCGGAUAAGUCUCUUGGGAAAUCCAGCAGCUCAACUGUUGGGCUUCCAGGGGAUACUGUCUGGCUCGAGGCCGGGAGAGGUGAGAGGUACUUCAGGGGUAGGGGUGGAAUCUUGUAAUCCUUGAAGGACCACCAGUGGCGAAGGCGUCUCACCAGAACGGUCCUGACGGCAAGGGACGAAAGCUAGGGGCACGAACCGGAUUAGAUACCCGGGUAGUCCUAGCCGUAAACGAUACUCGCUAGGUGUCGGCCACGGUGCGACCGUGGUCGGUGCCGUAGGGAAGCCGUGAAGCGAGCCACCUGGGAAGUACGGCCGCAAGGCUGAAACUUAAAGGAAUUGGCGGGGGAGCACUACAACGGGUGGAGCCUGCGGUUUAAUUGGAUUCAACGCCGGGAAGCUUACCGGGAUCGACAGCGAUAUGAAGGCCAGGCUGAAGACCUUGCCGGAUUAGCUGAGAGGUGGUGCAUGGCCGUCGUCAGUUCGUACUGUGAAGCAUCCUGUUAAGUCAGGCAACGAGCGAGACCCA
rnacentral:rRNA from 1 species